rnacentral:rRNA from 1 species
UGGGGGUGGCACUCGGCGAAGAGGUUGUCAUGUCUAAGUACAAGCCGCUAGUCGGCGAAACCGCGAAUGGCUCAAUAAAUCAGUUAUGGUUCCUUAGAUCCACUCCAUCCUACUUGGAUAACUGUGGUAAUUCUAGAGCUAAUACAUGCACUCGAGCCCCGACGGCCUACUUCUUUUAACCACGAGCGCACAGAGGGUGUGCUUUUAAUAUAUCAAAACCUCUCGAGACCCCCUCAAAACGCAGACCGUACCUUUUUGGUGACUCUGGAUAACUUCACGCAUAUCGCGUGCCCCUCGACCCCGACACACAUCUCUCAUGUGUCUGCCAUAUCCUGUGUCUAUGGUAUGUUACGCCCCUACCGUGGGUGCCACGGGUAACGGAGAAUCGGGGUUCUACUCCAGAGAGAGAGCCAGAAAAACCGAUACCACAUCCAGAGAACGCAACGCGCGCACAAAUUACCCACUCCCCGCACGGAGAUGUAGUGAAAAAAAAUAAAUAUACGACACUCUUCAGACGCCCCGUGAUUGGAGUGAAUACUCUUUAUCUCCUUUAACGAAGAACCUGUGGAGGGCAUCUCUGGUGCCCACACCCGCUGUCUCUCCCUCUCCUAUAGCAUAUAUUAAAUUUUUUGCUGUUAAAAAUCUCAUACUCAUAUGUCUGUUCUCCGCCGGGCCGCCCCUCUCUGAAUCAAGGGUGUGCGUUCUUUUCUCUCUGAAAAAACGGGUGUCAAACCCCAGACUCUUUUCAGGGGUCAGACAAUAUCCCCCAGAGUGGUUCCUCGGUGGCCCCCUCGGUAUAAAGCUUUUUGUCGGUUUUUUCGAUUUCUGGAGAAUCCUCCGGGCGUCUCUCCCCCACCCGUUAAAUCCUCCGGGGGUGCCCUUUCACCCGGGGUGUCUCCGGGCGCGCGAGCAACUUUUUUUUUUAAAAAAAAUUAAGAGUUGCAAAAAAGCGGGGUAUUAUCCCCCACCCCCCAGAACUCUCCACAACCGUUGAAAAUGAUAAAAAUAGACACCCUCGCCCCAUAUUUUUGGAGGAUCUUUUCUUUUUUUUAGCACCAGGAGGGUAGUGCUUCAAUAAAAUAAAAAAAGGGGGCGUCUUUUUCUUACUUCCCCCACCACAAGGAGGGAAAAAAUUUUUUUGGAUUCCUUCCUACAAAAAAAAAAAAAUAAAACGAAGAAAAGAAUUUUUUCCCAAAAAGAAUUUUUUUUUACCUUGGGACGGGAGCCAAGCAGAAAUUUUAUAAGUUGCUUUGCUAGGCUGCUUAGCUUGAACUGACCCCGCCCCGAUAGGUGCCC